rnacentral:rRNA from 1 species
UCGAGGGUCCGAUACUCAGGCCCUCCGCCUGGGGACUACGAGCAUUAGCUUAAAACCCAAAGGACUUGGCGGUGCUUUACCCCCCACUAGAGGAGCCUGUUCUAGAACUGAUAACCCCCGUUAAACCUCACCACCCCUCGUUUAACCCGCCUAUAUACCGCCGUCGUCAGCUUACCCUGUGAAGGCCAAAUAGUAAGCAAAAAUGGCUAAGCCAAAAACGUCAGGUCGAGGUGUAGUGAAUGGGAUGGGAAGAAAUGGGCUACAUUCUCUGCUACAGAGAAUACGAAUGGCAGCCUGAAAACCCUGCCUGAAGGUGGAUUUAGCA